AGUGAACGCUGGCGGUAGGCCUAACACAUGCAAGUCGAACGGCAGCCCAGUAAGAGCUUGCUCUUACGGGUGGCGAGUGGCGGACGGGUGAGGAAUACAUCGGAAUCUACUUUUUCGUGGGGGAUAACGUAGGGAAACUUACGCUAAUACCGCAUACGACCUACGGGUGAAAGCAGGGGAUCUUCGGACCUUGCGCGAUUGAAUGAGCCGAUGUCGGAUUAGCUAGUUGGCGGGGUAAAGGCCCACCAAGGCGACGAUCCGUAGCUGGUCUGAGAGGAUGAUCAGCCACACUGGAACUGAGACACGGUCCAGACUCCUACGGGAGGCAGCAGUGGGGAAUAUUGGACAAUGGGCGCAAGCCUGAUCCAGCCAUACCGCGUGGGUGAAGAAGGCCUUCGGGUUAUAAAGCCCUUUUGUUGGGAAAGAAAAGCAGCAGGUUAAUACCCCGCUGUUCUGACGGUACCCAAAGAAUAAGCAUCGGCUAACUUCGUG
rnacentral:rRNA from 1 species